AUGGCGUUCCUCAAUAAAUUGUUCGGGAAAUCAGAAAAAGCCGCGCCGGUCACCACAGGUGAGGCGAUUCAAAAGCUGAGAGAAACUGAAGAAAUGUUGAUAAAAAAGCAGGAUUUUCUUGAGAAAAAAAUCGACCUUGAGAUCGGUGCUGCGCGUAAAAAUGCUAAGACGAACAAGCGCGCAGCACUUCAGGCGCUCAAGCGCAAGAAACGUUACGAGAAACAACUUCAGCAAAUAGAUGGAACCCUCUCAACUAUAGAGAUGCAAAGGGAAGCUUUAGAAUCCGCGAACACGAAUACGGCGGUCUUGACAACAAUGAACGACGCUGCGAAAGCUUUGAAGAAAGCCAAUGCAGAUUUAGACGUGGAUAAGGUUCAUGAUAUGAUGGAUGAUAUUGCUGAACAACAAGAUGUAGCAAAGGAGAUUUCAGAAGCUAUUUCAAAUCCGGUUGCUUUCGGAGGGGAGUUUGAUGAGGAUGAGCUAGAAGCUGAACUUGAUGCACUAGGAGAUGAACUAGAACUUGAAGAGCAGGAGGAAUUAGACAAACAACUUCUAGAUGUAGGUCCAGCUGUACCUUCAGCUUUACCAGAGGUGCCUACAUCAGAGCCAAGAGCAGCUGCCAAGGCAAAGAAACCGGUUGAUGAAGAUCCAGAUAUGGCGGAGCUUGCUGCCUGGGCAUCCUAAACCGGGGCAUAUUCCACCGAGUGCUAGAAGACGACAAAUCCUAAAUUUCAUCGAGGAUUAUCCUCGCCAUUUUUUUCUCUUGUUAACCUCCUUUAUGUUCCAUUUAAUCAAAUAUUGGAUUAAUUUAUAAAUAUGCAACCAUAUAUAUAUAUUAUAUAAUGCUAGCUUCAGUAUGUUU
rnacentral:misc_RNA from 1 species